rnacentral:lncRNA from 1 species
GACAAUGCAGCAAACGUGAACACCUUUCGAUAGUAAUAAUCGGUCAUUGCAAAGAUCUCUCUAUUCCUUUCUUUCCCUUCAUCUCUCUCACCAAAUCAGAUUGAGAAUGGAAACAAAACAUUAAAACUUUUGGAUUUAGAAUGAAGGUGGCGGUGGAGAUAUUGACAGGAAGCCUCUUUUACGUUCAACUGGGCAAUGA